rnacentral:rRNA from 1 species
AGUGAACGCUGGCGGCAGGCCUAAUACAUGCAAGUCGAACGGCAGCACGGCAGAGCUUGCUCUGUGGGUGGCGAGUGGCGGACGGGUGAGGAAUACAUGGGAAUCUGCCCAGUCGUGGGGGAUAACGUAGGGAAACUUACGCUAAUACCGCAUGCGCCCUUCGGGGGAAAGCCGGGGACCUUCGGGCCUGGCGCGAUUGGAUGAGCCCAUGUCGGAUUAGCUAGUUGGCGGGGUAAUGGCCCACCAAGGCGACGAUCCGUAGCUGGUCUGAGAGGAUGAUCAGCCACACUGGAACUGAGACACGGUCCAGACUCCUACGGGAGGCAGCAGUAGGGAAUAUUGGACAAUGGGCGCAAGCCUGAUCCAGCCAUGCCGCGUGAGUGAAGAAGGCCCUCGGGUUGUAAGGCUCUUUUGUCCGGAAAGAAAAGCGCCGGGUUAAUACCCUGGUGUCCUGACGGUACCGGAAGAAUAAGCACCGGCUAACUUCGUGCCAGCAGCCG